UACGUAGGGUGCGAGCGUUGUCCGGAAUUAUUGGGCGUAAAGAGCUCGUAGGCGGUUUGUCGCGUCUAUCGUGAAAACUAGCAGCUUAACUGUUGGCGUGCGGUGGAUACGGGCAUCACUGGAGUUCGGCAGGGGAGACUGGAAUUCCUGGUGUAGCGGUGAAAUGCGCAGAUAUCAGGAGGAACACCGGUGGCGAAGGCGGGUCUCUGGGCCGAUACUGACGCUGAGGAGCGAAAGCGUGGGGAGCAAACAGG
rnacentral:rRNA from 1 species